GUGCAUCUGUACCGCUUCGGCGAAAAUUUGAACGACACAGAAAAGAUUACCAUGGCCUCUGCGCGAGGAAGACACGCAUAGUCGUUAAGCGUUCCACAUUUUU